GCCAAUUAUCUCCAGCAUACUGAAAUAAAAACACAUAACAAUACAUCAUUCCUUUUAUACUGAACAGAACCCCCACAUUCAACCUAUCCCCAGAUAGCUUGGAUCUGAGCGCUCAAUAUAUCCGAACAGCGCUGAGAUCCCACGAACAGAAUAAAAUCGCCAUGUGGUUAAAGUUUAGCAAGGGCCAUACACAGUCCAAUAGAAGUCCAUAAGCCCC